rnacentral:rRNA from 1 species
GAUGAACGCUGGCGGCGUGCCUAAUACAUGCAAGUCGAACGAGGUGCCUUUGUAGCAAUACGAGGGUAUCCUAGUGGCGAACGGGUGAGUAACGCGUUGGUGACCUGCCCCGAAGUGUGGGAUAACAGUCCGAAAGGACUGCUAAUACCGCAUGCGGCCAUCGGAUUUAGACACCGAUGUCCAAAGCAGAAAUGCUCUUUGGAAGGGACCUGCGUCCCAUCAGCUAGUUGGUAGGGUAACGGCCUACCAAGGCGACGACGGGUAGGGGACCUGAGAGGGUGACCCCCCACAAUGGAACUGAAAUACGAUCCAUACACCUACGGGUGGCAGCAGUAGGGAAUAUUGCACAAUGGGCGAAAGCCUGAUGCAGCAACGCCGCGUGCACGGUGAAGGUCUUCGGAUCGUAAAGUGCUUUUCUGGGAGAUGAGAAAGGACAGUAUCCCAGGAAUAAGUCUCGGCUAACUACGUGCCAGCCGCCGCAGUAAAAC